AUUGAACGCUGGUGGCAGGCUUAACACAUGCAAGUCGAGCGGGGGAAGGUAGCUUGCUACUGGACCUAGCGGCGGACGGGUGAGUAAUGCUUAGGAAUCUGCCUAUUAGUGGGGGACAACAUCUCGAAAGGGAUGCUAAUACCGCAUACGUCCUACGGGAGAAAGCAGGGGAUCUUCGGACCUUGCGCUAAUAGAUGAGCCUAAGUCGGAUUAGCUAGUUGGUGGGGUAAAGGCCUACCAAGGCGACGAUCUGUAGCGGGUCUGAGAGGAUGAUCCGCCACGCUGGGAAUGGAACACGGCCCAGACUCCUACGGGAGGCAGCAGUGGGGAAUAUUGGACAAUGGGGGGAACCCUGAUCCAGCCAUGCCGCGUGUGUGAAGAAGGCCUUAUGGUUGUAAAGCACUUUAAGCGAGGAGGAGGCUACUCUAGUUAAUACCUAGGGAUAGUGGACGUUACUCGCAGAAUAAGCACCGGCUAACUCUGUGCCAGCCGCCGCCGUAA
rnacentral:rRNA from 1 species